rnacentral:rRNA from 1 species
UACGUAGGGUGCGAGCGUUGUCCGGAAUUAUUGGGCGUAAAGAGCUCGUAGGCGGUGUGUCACGUCGGCCGUGAAAACCUGCAGCUUAACUGUGGGCGUGCGGUCGAUACGGGCAUCACUGGAGUUCGGCAGGGGAGACUGGAAUUCCUGGUGUAGCGGUGAAAUGCGCAGAGAUGUGGAGGAACACCAAUGGCGAAGGCAGCCUUCUGGGCCAACACUGACGCUCAUGCACGAAAGCGUGGGGAGCAAACAGG